CUGGAAAUUAUUUUUUGGUCACUGCCAGUCAGACAAUCGAUUGUUGCCUUAAACAAUUGAUUGUCUGAGACGUUAAAUAUUCUGGCAGUUAUUUUGGAACACCAGACAAUCGAUUGUUAAAGCCUAACAAUCGAUUGUUCUGGUCCAGUGAGUUGAAACGUUUUUUAAUUAUACCAUGCAAUCGAUUAUCUAUUGUAGACAAUCGAUUGUAAUGGUCCAGAAACU
rnacentral:lncRNA from 1 species